UGGGGAAUUGUUCGCAAUGGGCGCAAGCCUGACGACGCAACGCCGCGUGGAGGAUGAAGAUCUUCGGGUCGUAAACUCCUUUCGAUCGAGACGAAUGGCCCCCGGGUGAACAACUCGGGGGAGUGCCGGUACCGAGAGAAGAAGCCCCGGCUAACUCCGUGCCAGCAGCCGCGGUAAUACGGGGGGGGCAAGCGUUGUUCGGAAUUACUGGGCGUAAAGCGUGCGCAGGCGGUUAUGUAAGACAGGUGUGAAAUCCCCGGGCUUAACCUGGGAACUGCAUUUGUGACUGCAUAGCUAGAGUACGGUAGAGGGGGAUGGAAUUCCGCGUGUAGCAGUGAAAUGCGUAGAUAUGCGGAGGAACACCGAUGGCGAAGGCAAUCCCCUGGACCUGUACUGACGCUCAUGCACGAAAGCGUGGGGAGCAAA
rnacentral:rRNA from 1 species